CCAGACGGCCGGAUGGCCGCCUUCGGGUCACACCGGGGGAGGAAAGUCCGGGCUCCACGGAAACACGGUGCCGGCUAACGGCCGGCGGGGGCGACCCAGGGAAAGUGCCACAGAAAGCAAACCGCCGGCGCCUUGGCGCCGGUAAGGGUGAAAGGGUGCGGUAAGAGCGCACCGCGUCCCCGGCAACGGGGAUGGCACGGUAAACCCCACCGGGAGCAAGACCGAAUAGGGGCGGCCCGGCCGCCCGUCCUUCGGGACGGGACGGGGCCAAGCGCGUUUCCGCGCCGCCGCCCGGGUUGGUCGCGCGAGGCGUCGGGUAACCGGCGUCCCAGAUGAAUGGCCAUCGCCCGGCCCCUCGGGGUUGGGACACAGAACCCGGCUUACAGGCCGUCUGGCACU
rnacentral:RNase_P_RNA from 1 species